rfam:Vibrio aerogenes CECT 7868 genome assembly, contig: 0011
AAUUAUGGUGAGCUGGAUGAGGCAGCUUUAUGCUGGCCGUCUCUUGCGAACGGUAGGACUAACCUUGUUCAGCUCACCACCCAU